CCCGUGAUCCGGGUUGCGGACAGUGUCUGGUGGGUAGUUUGACUGGGGCGGUCUCCUCCUAAAGAGUAACGGAGGAGCACGAAGGUUGGCUAAUCCUGGUCGGACAUCAGGAGGUUAGUGCAAUGGCAUAAGCCAGCUUGACUGCGAGCGUGACGGCGCGAGCAGGUGCGAAAGCAGGUCAUAGUGAUCCGGUGGUUCUGAAUGGAAGGGCCAUCGCUCAACGGAUAAAAGGUACUCCGGGGAUAACAGGCUGAUACCGCCCAAGAGUUCAUAUCGACGGCGGUGUUUGGCACCUCGAUGUCGGCUCAUCACAUCCUGGGGCUGAAGUAGGUCCCAAGGGUAUGGCUGUUCGCCAUUUAAAGUGGUACGCGAGCUGGGUUUAGAACGUCGUGAGACAGUUCGGUCCCUAUCUGCCGUGGGCGCUGGAGAACUGAGGGGGGCUGCUCCUAGUACGAGAGGACCGGAGUGGACGCAUCACUGGUGUUCGGGU
rnacentral:rRNA from 1 species